rnacentral:rRNA from 1 species
GAUGAACGCUGGCGGCGUGCCUAAUACAUGCAAGUCGAACGAAACUUCUUUAUCACCGAGUGCUUGCACUCACCGAUAAAGAGUUGAGUGGCGAACGGGUGAGUAACACGUGGGCAACCUGCCCAAAAGAGGGGCUAAAACUUGGAAAAAGGGGUUUAUACCGCAUAACCAUUAAUACCGGAAGGUAAAUCUUUCAAAGGUUGCUAGAUUACCCCUUUUUGCUUGAGCCGCGGGGCAUUAGCUAGUUGGUACGGUAAAGGCUUACCAAGGCAAUGAUGCGUAGCCGAAUUGAGAGGUUGAUCGGCCACAUUGGGACUGAGACACGGCCCAAACUCCUACGGGAGGCAGCAGUAGGGAAUCUUCCACAAAGGGCGAAAGCCUGAUGGAGCAACGCCGCGUGGGUGAAGAAGGUCUUCGGAUCGUAAAACCCUGUUGUUAGAGAAGAAAGUGCGUGAGAGUAACUGUUCACGUUUCGACGGUAUCUAACCAGAAAGCCACGGCUAACUACGUG